rnacentral:misc_RNA from 1 species
GAUGAAGAACGUAGCGAAAUGCGAUAAGUAGUGUGAAUUGCAGAAUUCAGUGAAUCAUCGAAUCUUUGAACGCACAUUGCGCCCCUUGGUAUUCCAUGGGGCAUGCCUGUUCGAGCGUCAUUUGUACCUUCAAGCUUUGCUUGGUGUUGGGUCUUUGUCUCGCCUUUGCGUGUAGACUCGCCUUAAAAUAAUUGGCAGCCGGCGUAUUGAUUUCGGAGCGCAGUACAUCUCGCGCUUUGCACUCAUAACGACAGCGUCCAAAAGUACAUUUUACACUCUUGACCUCGGAUCAGGUAGGGAUACCCGCUGAACUUAAGCAUAUCAAUAAGCGGAGGA